rnacentral:rRNA from 1 species
UACGUAGGGGGCAAGCGUUGUCCGGAAUCAUUGGGCGUAAAGCGCGUGUAGGCGGCCCGAUAAGUCCGCUGUGAAAGUCCAGGGCUCAACCCUGGGAUGCCGGUGGAUACUGUCGGGCUCGAGUCCGGAAGAGGAGUGUGGAAUUCCUGGUGUAGCGGUGAAAUGCGCAGAUAUCAGGAAGAACACCUAUGGCGAAGGCAGCUCUCUGGGACGGUACUGACGCUGAGACGCGAAAGCGUGGGGAGCGAACAGG